rnacentral:rRNA from 1 species
CCUACGGGUGGCUGCAGUGGGGAAUAUUGGACAAUGGGGGCAACCCUGAUCCAGCCAUGCCGCGUGUGUGAAGAAGGCCCUCGGGUUGUAAAGCACUUUCAGUGAGGAAGAACGCCUGGUGGUUAAUACCCAUCAGGAAAGACAUCACUCACAGAAGAAGCACCGGCUAACUCCGUGCCAGCAGCCGCGGUAAUACGGAGGGUGCGAGCGUUAAUCGGAAUUACUGGGCGUAAAGCGCGCGUAGGUGGCUUGAUAAGCCGGUUGUGAAAGCCCCGGGCUCAACCUGGGAACGGCAUCCGGAACUGUCAAGCUAGAGUGCAGGAGAGGAAGGUAGAAUUCCCGGUAUAGCGGUGAAAUGCGUAGAGAUCGGGAGGAAUACCAGUGGCGAAGGCGGCCUUCUGGACUGACACUGACACUGAGGUGCGAAAGCGUGGGUAGCAAACAGGAUUAGAUACCCUAGUAGUC